rnacentral:rRNA from 1 species
CUGGCGGCGUGCCUAACACAUGCAAGUCGAACGAGAAAGUGGAGCAAUCCAUGAGUAAAGUGGCGACCGGGUGAGUAACACGUGACUAACCUACCUCCGAGUGGGGAAUAACUCCGGGAAACCGGGGCUAAUACCGCAUAACAUCGCAAGAUCAAAGCAGCAAUGCGCUUGGAGAGGGGGUCGCGGCUGAUUAGCUAGUUGGCGGGGUAACGGCCCACCAAGGCGAAGAUCGGUAUCCGGCCUGAGAGGGCGCACGGACACACUGGAACUGAAACACGGUCCAGACUCCUACGGGAGGCAGCAGUGGGGAAUUUUGCGCAAUGGGGGAAACCCUGACGCAGCAACGCCGCGUGGAGGAUGAAGCCCUUUGGGGCGUAAACUCCUUUCGACUCGGACGAUAAUGACGGUACGAGUGGAAGAAGCACCGGCUAACUCUGUGCCAGCAGCUGCGGUAAUACAGAGGGUGCGAGCGUUGUUCGGAAUUAUUGGGCGUAAAGGGCGCGUAGGCGGUGCGGUAAGUCACCUGUGAAAUCUCCCGGCUUAACUGGGAGCCUGCAGGCGAAACUACCGUGCUGGAGUGUGGGAGAGGUGCGUGGAAAUCCCGGUGUAGCGGUGAAAUGCG